rnacentral:rRNA from 1 species
GACGAACGCUGGCGGCGUGCUUAACACAUGCAAGUCGAACGCUGAAGCUCAGCUUUUGUUGGGUGGAUGAGUGGCGAACGGGUGAGUAACACGUGAGUAACCUGCCUCCUUCUUUGGGAUAACGCCCGGAAACGGGUGCUAAUACUGGAUAUUCACUGGUCUUCGCAUGGGGGUUGGUGGAAAGGGUUUUUCUGGUGGGGGAUGGGCUCGCGGCCUAUCAGCUUGUUGGUGGGGUUAUGGCCUACCCAGGCUUUGACGGGUAGCCGGCCUGAGAGGGUGAACGGUCACAUUGGGACGGAGAUACGGCCCAGACGCGUACGGGAGGCAGCAGUGGGGAAUAUUGCACAAUGGGCGCAAGACUGAUGCAGCGACGCCGCGUGAGGGAUGGAGGCCUUCGGGUUGUGAACCUCUGUCGCUCAUGGUCAAGCCGCAACAAUGGUUGUGGUGAGGGUAGUGGGUAAAGAAGCGCCGGCUAACUACGUG